rnacentral:rRNA from 1 species
GACGAACGCUGGCGGCGUGCCUAAUACAUGCAAGUAGAACGCUGAAGGAGGAGCUUGCUUCUCCGGAUGAGUUGCGAACGGGUGAGUAACGCGUAGGUAACCUGCCUGGUAGCGGGGGAUAACUAUUGGAAACGAUAGCUAAUACCGCAUAACAGUAGAUAUUGCAUGAUAUCUGCUUGAAAGGUGCAAACGCAUCACUACCAGAUGGACCUGCGUUGUAUUAGCUAGUUGGUGGGGUAACGGCUCACCAAGGCGACGAUACAUAGCCGACCUGAGAGGGUGAUCGGCCACACUGGGACUGAGACACGGCCCAGACUCCUACGGGAGGCAGCAGUAGGGAAUCUUCGGCAAUGGACGGAAGUCUGACCGAGCAACGCCGCGUGAGUGAAGAAGGUUUUCGGAUCGUAAAGCUCUGUUGUAAGAGAAGAACGAGUGUGAGAGUGGAAAGUUCACACUGUGACGGUAUCUUACCAGAAAGGACGGCU